GCAUAUGUCUUGAAAACAUAAGAAAGAAGCUUUACCCUUCUAUUAAUUU
rnacentral:tRNA from 1 species